AGGCCAGUCUGAUGUGCAAGACACUUCUUAAAAUUCCCACUAUAGCUUUUUAAGCAAACAUGAAAUCCUUGCUGAUAACGUUUGCCUUGCUGUCAGUGGUAACGGGAAGGUAAAGAAUGAAGAAAGGAGGGAUGGAAUCCAUAGCAAUCUGGAUGAUUUAAGAAAGCAUGUUUGUAAUGCACGGAAAUAUUGCUCCUCCAGGAAAAAGGAACAUGUGCCUUACCACCAGAAGAGACCGAGUUCUGGGAAGCCGUGAGUCAGAUGAGGAUGUGGUGCCAGGGUGGAUCUGCAGCUGAAGAGUUCAUGGGACCAGGAUGUGGCUGACUCUUCACUGGAAAUGGGGGUGUAUAAUGCCAGACAGACAAUACAGGAGCCAACUGUUCUUGGGACAUAGUCAAGAAUGACCGUCCUUAAUGAAGACUAAUUGGAGGAGUAAAAGCAACCAACCUGCAUUCAUCGAAAGCAAGUCAUACCAGAACAAAGUGAUGACACUUCUUUGCCUGGGUAACCCACUUGAAGGAGAUGAGACACUAUGUGUAACAUACAGCCAUGUGAAUUAAUAAAGAACAACCUCCCUCCAACUUAGCUUUUCCACCUGAAUCUGAUAGUGAAAUUUAUUCUUCUUUGAUAUCCUCAGUUAAAGGCCGUGCCAGUGUGCUGAGAACAGAGAUGGGAAAUGAAUCAACAUGCGACAAAGCUUGCUGGAACCAGCAAGGAUCUUCCCAUGGGUGUCAGCAAGCUUUCAUUCAGCUCCUUUCAUAGCAGAUUUUCUGAAAGAGCUGAGCUCCCCUACAGGGGCCAGAUUUGCAAAAGAGCAGAGCAGGUGGGAGGCUUCCGGGGAAAAUCUGUUGAUAAAUGCCAAGCAGAAGCAGCAGGGAUCUGAGCUUGCUGGAGGAGCUGAGGAGAUUUCCUGAAGCAUGCUUUCAGAGAUCGGUUCCCACCUACUUUCCCACCAAGCAAGCUGCCAAGAUGUAAUGGCCACUGAGAGCUGCUCUGCAGGCUUGUUUGGGAGAAUGUGUCCAGCAGAGAUUUGUCUACCCUCAGCUCUGCUAAUACACUCCAGUGCCAGAUCACUUUAUUAAUUAUUCCAGCUCUAAACCACACCAGGUCUGCAGUCACCUUCUGGCUCUACUUACUGCACCAAAGACACUCCAUGCAAGCAGAAUUUCCUCAGCACUUCCUUCAGGCUUAAGAGAAGCAUUCUGCAAGCCUGGAUGUGAUAAACUCUGGCACUACACCGCAUGGAGUUGAAGCCAGAUUCAAGCUUGGCAGGAAUCCGCUUAUCACUAUGGGGCAUGUGAACUACAGAGUCAUUAAGGUUGGAAAAGACCACUAAGAUCAUCUAAUCCAGCUGUCAACCCAUCGCCACCAUGCCCACGUGUAACUUAACUGUGCAGCCAUGGAGUCACUGCUGCUAUUCAGGCUCGAAGCCCCAGUUGAACUGGUUCCUUCCAUGGUGGAGUGCAUAUGAUUUAGAGGAGCUCACCUGCCUUUGCACAGCUCUCCCAGGAGAAGAAAUAAGAGAUUUAGCUAGCUCUGCCCUGCUUGCAGAAAUGAGGUUUGCACCACAUUUCUCUGCUGUGAGUACAAGAGCUCAUGUGCCUGCUUUGUGGAGAAAUGCACUUCUGUGCUUUGGAUGCACUAUUUUCCUUGACCUCUGGACUGGAAACCAUUUGUGUGGGUGGGAGUCCAGCCCAACUCUGUAAUUAGGAAAGCUAUUAAUAAUUAGAGAACUUGUUAUCUACCAGAGGAUGGAGAACUACACAUGCUAUCGCAAAAAUAAAUAAAUAAAUAAAUGAUCACCUCCUGUGGAAAGAGCUGUGGUUUGCACAAUGUUUUGAGAAACGUGUAGCUGAUCUGUCAUAAAUCAUGGAUUUCUUUGUUUGCUACACCAUCUUGGAUCAGUCCUGGCCAGCAAUAGGACAGAGCUGACAUUCUUCUGAAGAAAUAGUGGGAUCAUCUCCGUGUACCAGAAGGAAAACCAUACAAAUUACAGUUUAGAUUCUCUUUAUUUCCCUACUAGCUACCAGAACAUCAAGGAAACGCAACGUCUCAGACUUUUCAAACGUGAUAUCUAGGAGCACAUUUUUUUUUUUUUUUUAAGAAAAAAAGGAAAAAAUCCAGGACUGACACCAGAAACUGAAAAUUUCAGGGAGACAAAAACAACGACAAAAAAAUCCGUGAAGAGCUGUGAGGUUCAUAAUCACAAGGAGCAAUAAUCGCAAGAGAUAGCGAUAAUGGCAACGCUGCUGCCAGAGCCAGCAGGGCAGCAGAGGCUCAGCAGGCAGGGCUUGCCCUGGUGCCCUUCACCGGUCUUUUUUACUGGCUCAUUAAGUAGAACCGUUGCAAAAAGAAGAGAGUCAAAAUUGGUUUCCCCUCAGAAAGUCAGUUUAACAGAAUUAUCCACCCACAAAUAAGUGUCAAAACAAAUCUUUCCACCUUGCCCAGCUUGCUCCGAUAAUGUCAAGUCAGUGCAUCUCAGUCCUCCUGAUAAUUUGUUCCAGUGACAUAAAAUGCUGCUUCACAACUUUGUUUCAUUCCAUUUUAGCUUUAUUACAGACAAAUUAACAUUCAUUUUCGUUUUAAUGGACCUUACCAUUUGCAGCAUUAAUAUUUUGGAUUCAGUAUUUUUAAAGCCAAGUGUGCUCUGACUCUUUUGCUGUUUGCUGUUUCAGCAUUGCUGGAAGUAAAUGUCAAUCAACAUUAUUGCAAAUGGCAUGUUUGUCCAGCACUAAGAUGGGCUGAAAAUUUCAGAAAGAGAGCUUUUUAUUAAAAUCUCAGCUUUUUUUUAACUAUCUGUUCUAUUUUUGUAUAAAACCAGAGUUUGGAAUUUCCAGAACCUGCAGUGUGGUGAAAGAUCUAUUUUUUCCUACCAUUCAUUUUCAAAUGCAGACAGAUGCUAAUGACUUUACUUUCAAAGGUCUUCAAUUAAUUACCAUGUUGAUACUCAUUUAACAAGAUUUUCUGGCCCGCACCUGUUCCCCUGUACAAGACUUUGCCUUCCCACCAUCAUCCUGAUCCCCUCUCUCAGGCUCUCUGCUUGUCACUGCUACAUAAAUUACUUUCCACUUUCAGAGUGAAAGGGCAAACAGUGCUAUCAUGAUAAGAAACCCAAGAACAAGGAGUUGCUUUUGGGGCUUGCAGGGUGCUUUUAGGGCUAGGUAG
rnacentral:lncRNA from 1 species